rnacentral:tRNA from 1 species
GGGCGUGUACCCAAGUGGCCAAAGGGGGCAGACUGUAAAUCUGCUGGCGGAUGCCUUCGCUGGUUCGAAUCCAGCCGCGCCCA